UGAAGAAGCGCAUUCCUUAUCUCACCCUUGCUGAUCUUUCCCUUGUCCUCUAUAUCCAAAUCAGUGAAUAUAUUCUCCGCCAACAUUGCAAAUUCGUCUUCGUCCUCCAAAAACAGCCGCAGAGUAUUCCCAUCCAAAAUAGACACCACUAAUGGAUUAUCUUUUAGUUCAUCGGCUAUGGCAGUGAGAUAGUCAUUGAGCUUAGACGUUGCUGCUUCUUUGGUGAGUUCAGAACGCCGGAAACUGACAUCAUCAUCGACGUUGACGCGUUGGAGAGCGGAGGACUUGAGACAUUGAGGCAAUGAGAGGCCAAAGAGGGAAUCAGAGGCUUCAGAUUCAGCGAAAUCGAGGACUUGAGCUCCGGUAAAAGUGACUUCGGAAUCCGGCAUGGCCACCUGGAGCGAUCUGAGAUGGGUUCCGUCUAGGACAGUCAUGCC
rnacentral:misc_RNA from 1 species